rnacentral:rRNA from 1 species
UAGGGAAUCUUCCACAAUGGGCGCAAGCCUGAUGGAGCAACACCGCGUGAGUGAAGAAGGGUUUCGGCUCGUAAAGCUCUGUUGUUAAAGAAGAACACGUAUGAGAGUAACUGUUCAUACGUUGACGGUAUUUAACCAGAAAGUCACGGCUAACUACGUGCCAGCAGCCGCGGUAAUACGUAGGUGGCAAGCGUUAUCCGGAUUUAUUGGGCGUAAAGAGAGUGCAGGCGGUUUUCUAAGUCUGAUGUGAAAGCCUUCGGCUUAACCGGAGAAGUGCAUCGGAAACUGGAUAACUUGAGUGCAGAAGAGGGUAGUGGAACUCCAUGUGUAGCGGUGGAAUGCGUAGAUAUAUGGAAGAACACCAGUGGCGAAGGCGGCUACCUGGUCUGCAACUGACGCUGAGACUCGAAAGCAUGGGUAGCGAACAGGAUUAGAUACCCUGGUAGUCCAUGCCGUAACGAUGAGUGCUAGGUGUUGGAGGGUUUCCGCCCUUCAGUGCCGGAGCUAACGCAUUAAGCACUCCGCCUGGGGGAGUACGACCGCAAGGUU